UGCCAGCCGCCGCGGUAAUACGGAGGGUACGAACGUUAAUCGGAAUUACUGGGCGUAAAGCGCGCGUAGGCGGUUUGAUAAGUGGGAUGUGAAAGCCCCGGGCUCAACCUGGGAACUGCAUUCCAAACUGUCAAACUAGAGUGUGGUAGAGGAAAGUGGAAUUUCUGGUGUAGCGGUGAAAUGCGUAGAUAUCAGAAGGAACAUCAAUGGCGAAGGCAGCUUUCUGGGCCAAUACUGACGCUGAGGUACGAAAGCGUGGGUAGCAAACAGGAUUAGAUA
rnacentral:rRNA from 1 species